rnacentral:lncRNA from 1 species
CAGACCUCCUCGCCAUCCUCUCCUAUGAGCACGCCUUCCUAAGGACUCAUCCUGGAGUCACAGGACAGUUGCUCUUAGAAGGCCAGAGGUAAAGUUCGCUGCUGUGUGCUGACCUCCGUGCUGAUGGGAGCGAGCUUAUUGCUCCCCUGACUGCACUUCCGUGGCAGCUUCUUUAGACAGAUGCUCCAGCUACACUUUGUGUCCACAGGGACAUCUGAAGAAACACGAAGCAUAAGCCCCACCCAAGCCUCUACUCCUAUGGACUCUGCCGCAUCACUCUGACCUGAGCCCCAGUUGGAAGUCUGGCUAGGUUUGGUAUGUUGAGAUGAAAUAAAAUGUGGGUGAGGCCCAGCAUGGCCAAGUAA